rnacentral:rRNA from 1 species
UACGGAGGAUGCAAGCGUUAUCCGGAAUUAUUGGGCGUAAAGCGUCCGCAGGUGGCAAUGUAAGUCUGCUGUUAAAGAGUGAGGCUCAACCUCAUAAGAGCAGUGGAAACUACAUAGCUAGAGUGCGUUCGGGGCAAAGGGAAUUCCUGGUGUAGCGGUGAAAUGCGUAGAGAUCAGGAAGAACACCGGUGGCGAAGGCGCUCUGCUAGGCCGCAACUGACACUGAGGGACGAAAGCUAGGGGAGCGAAUGGG